GACGUAGGAGACAAACGUUAUCCGGAGUUACUGGGCGUAAAGGGCGCGUAGGCGGUCAUGUAAGUCUGGCGUGAAAUUUUUCGGCUUAACCGGGAAAGGUCGUCGGAUACUGUAUGACUAGAGGACGGUAGAGGCGUGUGGAAUUCCGGGUGUAGUGGUGAAAUGCGUAGAGAUCCGGAGGAACACCAGUGGCGAAGGCGACACGCUGGGCCGUACCUGACACUGAGGCGCGAUAGCAUGGGGAGCAAACAGG
rnacentral:rRNA from 1 species